CAGAUAAUUUGAUGCCAAACGCGGUAGCUCUAUCAUCACCUCCCUUCCCCAUCUACCACCAACAAAUAUCGAUUCACACACGCACAAACCCUAUCGAAGGAGCAAACCCAAAUCAACAACCCAACCCUACUCCUCUUUUCCGAUCCGAUCCUUUCCGAGUAAAAGUUCAAAAUGAGUCGUGCCCAGGAUGCAAACCGAUCAUUCUUCCCUUUUGGAAAUCCUUUUAGGAUGAUAUCCCCUAAAGGCUCUAAAGUUUCUCAUCAGCUUUUGUUAGUAUUACAAGCUUUCGAAGCAACUUUUGAAGAGAGGCUGACAAGGCUUAUUCCCGAGAGCAAGGAUGAGAUCCUUAGUUUGUCUUGGAUGACUUUGGCGAUGCGGUUACUCUGCGAGAGUCACAGUGACAUUAAAACCCUCACAACAGAGCUUGAGCUUCCUGUUAAUGAUUGGGAUGCGAAAUGGAUAGAUGUGUACUUUGACAUUAGCAUGAAGUUGCUGGAUAUAUGCAAUGCAUUCAGCUCCGAAUUAUCACGAAUGAGUCAGGGUCAACUUUUACUUCAGUGUGCGUUGCACAAUUUAGGUUCCUCCUCUUCAGAGCAGUAUGAUCGGGCAUGUUCUUCAUUUGAUGGUUGGAAGCAGCAUAUUAGUUCAGGAAACCCUAGGAUUGAGAAAUGUGGAAGCAUUUUGGAUGGUCUUCUGGGGUCACUUGAUCUUCCUAAGGUUAAAAAGUCUGCAAAAGGAAAGGUUUUGGUGCAAGCUAUGUAUGGAGUCAAGGUUCUCACAGUAUUUGUAUGCAGUGUGUUUGCUGCAGCCUUUUCAGGGUCUACAAAGAAUAUGUUGGACUUGGACGUGGCCGAUGUAUAUUCUUGGGCUCCGACCUUUAAAAGGUUGCAAAAUCUUGUAAAUGAGGAAAUUAGAGUUAGGUUUUCGUGUGGAAGAUUUGCUGUGUUGAAUGAGUUGGAAUCUGUUGAUUCCUCUUUAAAGGAAUUGUAUCCUAUUAUCCGGGGUGUUGUAGAUCCCACUGAGAUGAAAUUGCUUCCGGAGAUUGUUGGGCAAUUAGGUAGAUCAUCGGGGAAUCUUUCGCAGGGACUAGAUCUUCUUGCAAAGGAAGUUGAUAGCUUUUUCCAAGUGGUUUUGACCGGUCGUGAUGCCUUGCUAUCAAAUCUGAGGUCGGGUGCUACUGUCAUUCACAGCAACGUCGGUGUAACGGAAAUGCAGAGAUAGUCAAUUGAACGUGUUGCAAACUAACUCUGAGGCAGAUAAAGAACUGGUGAUACAUACGAAAGACAAGAAGUCUCAGAUUGAGUUAUGAGCUUCGACUCUCUGUUCUUGAACACGGGCGUUCUAUUUGGACUUGAUCGUCGGUAUUUAAUUCUGGAGUAUUGCGUGUUAUUUAUUAUAUUGUAUAUCUUUAUCAUCUGAUAUUUUGAAACUAUCGGAUCAGUCACUUUACCUUCAAAUCAAGGUGCCACAUCUAAUUCUGAUCUCCUGUCACCUAACUCAGAACUUCUUACAAUUAUGCAUUGGGGACCAAGUUUCAUCACGCUCGAUAAGCUCCUCAGAAUAUCAGGUGGUAGAGAAAUCAAAGAUUUGGACCUCUUUAAUAAAUUGAUAGCAUUCUCUAAAGAUAAUCUGGGAGAGCUCUGCAAGCUGAAGAGAGCAGAGACCAAGAUUUGUCCAAGAUGAUCUUUUAUGAAUCGAAAAUGGAGAAGUAAUCUAGUCAAAUUCUCCUAGCGAAUAAACCAAGCCACAUGCAUGCUAUGGAUCUUGUGAACAUCUUGGUCUUGCAACAGCCUCUUCAACAUUUGCUUAUUUUUUUCUCAUGUUUUUAAUUUCUGGUUGAAAUUAAGUUACUUGAGGCAACUUUUUUGCUGGAGCAUUUUAACUUGAUACUUGAACAUAAAGCUGUGUUAAAUAUAUUUCCAAGAAUUUUAUCAACCAUGCGAACUUUAUUCUA